GACAAGUGGGCAAAGGUUUCCCCCACACCACCAGAAGGGUAACAUUUAAAAAUGGAAAUGGCUUGUGUAACCUACUUUUCUUUGCUUUUAAAAUAACAGCUCCUAGAUUUGCAUUUGUUUUUAAUUCUUGGCCCCCUGACCCCUGCUCCUGUUUGACUUGAUAAAUUCCAUCUCUCCUUCCACAGGCAACUAUUUAAUCCUGAGCUUUUUGUAACUGCUUCAUCAAAAUGGUUUUAGGUACCAUCAUGAUGAAGAAACGACAUGAAGGGCCAACAUCUGGUUCAUUAGUAUGGACAGUAAUACUAAGAUUCAGAAGGAACUUGAGAGUUGAUUACACCAAGAAGGCUUAGACAGGUUGGGAUGUGGGGGCCAUGAAGGAAGAUGCUCCCUGGUUGAUCCUGAUAGCCAGGCCAGUAUAGGAUCCCCAGUCCCCACUCUCUUAGUAGUUCUUAAAUAUGUUACUUUGUAAAGAAAUGGAGGAAUUGUCAACAUAGUAGCCAAGAGCUCAAUUUCAGAGAUGAGAACAUGUAUUGAAUGGAGAGAAAAGGCAAGAUGAUACACUUGAGCAUCCAGAGAGUCAAGAAAAAAAGGCAGAAGCAGCAGGCAUGGCUCACUCGGUUACCCUACUGCUUUCUGAUGAUAUGCCCACUUCCCUGGUAUAGUUCCAGGUAGCUCUUCUACCAGAAUUAAGGUUUGAAAAGUGAAAGUGUUAAUUGCUUAAUCAUGUCCAGUGCUUUGUGACGCUAUGCACUGUAACCUGUCAGGCUCCUCUAUCCAUGGACUUCUCCAAGCAAGAAUACUGGAAUGGGUAGCCAUUCCCUUCUCCAGAGGAUAUUCCCAGCCCAGGAAUGGAACCCAAGUCUCCUGCAAUGCAGGCAGAUUCUCUACCAUCUGAGCUACCAAUUGGUCCUAAUUAACCUAGAUACUCUACAAGCAUUAAACAAAUAAAUUCAGUUUUAAAUUCAA